GCAAAAGAAAUAAAACAAACACACAACAAUUUUGAGAUGUCUCCGUUGCCGUUGAAUGCUGAGCAAGUAUUGCAACAUUUUACCCAUAUCCACCCUUUAACGAAAGUUGACGGGGUUGGCACGUACAUAUGCGAUGGCUGUAAAACCUACGGCUCUGGGAGGACCUACCGUUGCGCCGCUUGCAACUAUGAUCUUCACGAGUUCUGUGCCAUAUGUCCCCCUACACUCCUCAGCACUCUACAUCCACACCACGAGCUCAGGUUAGUACACCAGGACAGACGUGCAUGCGACAUCUGCAAAGAAUCAAUCAACGGGCUGUUUUACCAAUGCAAGACCUGCGGCUUCGACGUCCAUCCACUCUGCACGCAGCUGCCUAAGGAAGUGAUCCACAAUCACGGAUAUCCAAAACAAGUUCAGGUUCCAGAAUCCCAUACGGGUUCGACUAGUAAAACGGUUCGGGUAAUGGUUCUAGGCGCUGGUGUUGCUUGGCUUUGCAUGACAGGGGAUGUCUCUGGGGUCGUUUCUGCGUUCCUUUGAAAUGGCAUAUUUCUGACAUCCUGCCAUUAUGUGCAUGUUCCUUAUUCAAUAUAAGUUUUGUACUCUACUGUUUUAUACAAAAUCUAUUUUAAAAUUUUAAAGCAAAAAUAGCUAAAAAAAGGAAUUGUUAUUUGUUUAUUCCGUUGUGCCAUGAAAAGUGUGAGUAAAAAAAAGUUGUGUAUUUUAAAGUUGUGACUUUUGAGAGUUUUUAAUUAUUUUAAAUAGUAUUACCGAAGUUUCUUAGUUAAAUAAAAAUAAGAACUCAAAAUUUCAUAGUGUCAGAUUAAUUCCUAGAGUAUUUUAACAAAAACCACAAUAAAAUCCCAUUUCAUUUAAAGUCAUCAAUAAACUUAACAAAAAUCAAAUCAGUUCAAUUUUUUUUAACGGUACCAUUCUUUUAAACUCUAUAUCGAGCGAAUACGUAAAAAUAAGGUAGUUAUAAAAAAAUAUUUUGUCAAAUAAAUAUAAAAUAUCAAAAUUAACCAUUCAGUAACUAUCAUAUAGAUACCCUAAACAUUAUACUUUAUUUUUUUGUUUAAAAAUAAAUAAAUAUAUUCCUUCAUUAGACAUAUUGAAAGCUAAUUCAUUUGAACAUUUGAGAAAAGUCAAGAGAUGAUAAAACAUUAAUUAUGGGUUGAUAAGGAAGCCCAAUUCAAGGCAUAUCAUGAAAAGUCAUAUAUGUGAAAGAUGUUAUGCUUACUGGUUCCAGAGAGUGACCGUAAUACUAAUGUAGUAAAGCUUGUUCUCAAACAAUACGUUAAGCUAUACAUUGUUUACAUCCAAUCUAACCAAAACCAAAUAAUCGAAAGAAAGCACACCAAAUAAAUUUUUAAUAAUAUAUGGUUGUUCUUCGCGUAAAUUUGUUUCUAUCCAAUGUGCAAAUUGACUAUAAGUUAAAUAUCUAAAAUAUCAAUCUUCAAUAUAGACAAAAAUCAUUGGUAGAAAAAUGUAACGCAACAAACGAAAAACAAAAUGACCAUAAUAUUGUCGGUCAACUAGCCAACUAUACUAAACUAAUUUGUGGUGUUCUCAUAAUAUGUUAUGAAUGAGUUGAAUUAUAAAAAGAAAAAUUUCUCAACUAAAUUUUGUUAAGUUUUUUUGUUCUUAAUAUUUUCUUUGCUAUCUUGGUAUAAAUAAUUAUUUUUCCAUUUAGUAAACUAAUAUUAAAAAACGUUUUUUUCUUAACGCUCAGACGACAUUUAUAAAGUUCAGGCGAUAAUUAAUUUUUCCCCAAAACUUUAAAAACAAAUUUUAUAAUUAAAAUUAAAAUUUUAGUUUUUAGGAAUUAAAGUAACAAAUUUUUGGAUAACAAUUUAGCAUUAUAAAAAAAUUCUUUUGAAUAAAAAUAAACUGGCUUAAUUUAUCUUUAAAAAAAUUAAAGUUGGUAUAAAAAUAAAAUUAUAAUUAUAAUGUUUAAGGUUUUCCACAAUUUAGUUACUUUUAUUAUUAUAGCUUAAAAUAAAAUUAAAAAUUUUACGGAUUAUGUUUUUGUGUGUGUUGACACAUUUAAAAUUUUAUUUUAAACUUGUUAACAUUUUUUAAAUUAAAAUGAGCACAUUUUAGAUUUUAAAAUGAGAAAAAAAUUUGAAAUUAUUUUAUUAAAUUAAAAGAAUAAUUACUUAUAUUUUUAAAAUGAGUUAACAAAUUUUUUUUUUUUAGUUAACAAAAUUUAAUUAUUAACAAGUUCACAAAAUUUAGUUGAGAUGUUUUUAUGGAAAUUUUCCUUCAAGUUAAUAUGUUUAGAGAACAAGUUAACAAAAGUUUAUAUUGUUGAGAUUGUUUUGUUGAUCAUUUUACGAUUUUUAUGCAUAUGAUUUCCAUUUUAUAAAAUAAUUAUUCAACGACUAGACAGAUAUUCAGUCAUCUCUUCUACUCUACCACACAUUAAAUAUAAGUUAUUAUACAUACCUGUACAGAUGGACAAAAAUGUUUUAUUGCUUGUAACACGACUCAAAGAAAGCUAAGUUAGUUAUCUCCCACACAAUGUUGAGUUGGUCAAAGAAGAAUUCCUUUGACUAUUUUAAAAUUCUAUUUUUUUGAUUUGUAAAUCUACUCUUCCCUUAAUGAUCAAUUAACAAUGGCGAUGAGUGAACGAUCGACUGAAAAAUUAUUAAAAGCUGUAAAACCCGUGCCCUGGCUACCUUUCAACAUGACUGUCAAUGACAACAUCCAUCGUUCAUGUUUGCUUGCUUUGUUUCCUUGCAAAAGAAACAAUUUCUUGUGCACCUGUGCUGUAUCAACGGAUACAAUUAAUAUGUAGAAAAAAAUUUGUUAUUACCUAUAGAAAACAUUUAAAUAAACAAAAUGUCUAUAUAUGAGUCGAAUAUGAAUCAAAUGGCGGGAACGGACGGGUAGCAAGUCAUUGUGCCCAACCCUACUUGGUAAGUAUAUCGAACAUGCCUUCGACUGUCUAUUUGAUCUCUUACUUUCCUCGUCAUUUUCUUCCAAGGUUUCCAACACUCUACUAUUCUUUACACGUUUUGGUACGUCUCUGGUUUGGACUAUAUGUUUCCACUCAUUUCCAAUUUCUUUUUUUUCUUCAUUCCAACUAGACAGAUAUUCAGUCAACUCCUCUACUCUACCACACAUUAAAUAUAAGUUAUUAUACAUACCUGUACAUAGGGACAAAAAUGUUUUAUUGCUUGUAACACAUUCAACAAAAGUUAUGUUAGUUGUCUCCCCCACAAUGUUUGAGUUGGUCAAAGAAGUAUUCCUUUGACUAUUUUAAAAUUUUAUUUUGUUGAUUUGUAAAUCUACUCUUCGCUUAAUGAUCAAUUAACACAAUGGCGAUGAGUGAACGAUCGACUGAAAAAAUUUUUAAAGCUGUAAUACCCGUGCCCUAGCUACCUUUCAACACGACUGUUAAUGACAACGUCCAUCGUUCAUGUUUGCUUGCUUUGUUUCCUUGCAAAAGUAAAUAAUUCUACAGAAUAUUACGAGGUGAGCAUAAAAGUCUACAUUGAACUGAAGAAUUCUAAAAAUAUUUCAAACAUGAGUACACAAGAGUUGAUUAACGAGAAGUAAACUUAAUUUCUUGUGCACCUGUGCUGUAUCAACAGAUAUAAUUAAUAUGCAGAAAAAGGUUGUUAUGACCUAUAGAAAACAUUUAAAUAAACGAAAUGUCUAUAUAUGAGUCAAAAUAUGAAUUAAAUGGCGGGAAUGGACGGGUAGCAAGUCAUUGUGCCCAACCCUACAGGUGGUAAGUAUACAAACAUGCCUUCGCCUGUCUAUUUGAUCUCAUACUUCCCUCGUCAUUUUCUGCCGAAGUUUCCACCUCUCUACUAUUCUUUACACGUUUUGGUACGUCUCUGGUUUAGACCAAAUGUUUCCACUCAUUUCCAAUUUCUUUUUUUUCCUCAUUCCAGUGACUUACCACUUGAUCACCUUAACAUUUUCCUAGAAACUUCGUACCCUGUUAUAUAUACCAAUGUUUAUUCUCUCAAGUCCUACCAUUCUCAAGGAAGCAAAAGAAAUAAAACAAACACACAACAAUUUUGAGAUGUCUCCGUUGCCGUUGAAUGCUGAGCAAGUAAUGCAACAUUUUACCCAUAUCCACCCUUUAACGAAAGUUGACGGGGUUGGCACGUACAUAUGCGAUGGCUGUAAAACCUACGGCUCUGGGAGGACCUACCGUUGCGCCGCUUGCAACUAUGAUCUUCACGAGUUCUGUGCCAUAUGUCCCCCUACACUCCUCAGCACUCUACAUCCACACCACGAGCUCAGGUUAGUACACCAGGACAGACGUGCAUGCGACAUCUGCAAAGAAUCAAUCAACGGGCUGUUUUACCAAUGCAAGACCUGCGGCUUCGACGUCCAUCCACUCUGCACGCAGCUGCCUAAGGAAGUGAUCCACAAUCACGGAUAUACAAAACAAGUUCAGGUUCCAGAAUCCCAUACGGGUUCGACUAGUAAAACGGUUCGGGUAAUGGUUCUAGGCGCUGGUGUUGCUUGGCUUUGCAUGACAGGGGAUGUCUCUGGGGUCGUUUCUGCCUUCCUUUGAAAUGGCAUGUUUCUGACAUCCUGCCAGUACACCAGGAUAGACGUGCAUGCGACAUCUGCAAAGAAUCAAUCAACGGGCUGUUUUACCAAUGCAAGACCUGCGGCUUCGACGUCCAUCCACUCUGCACGCAGCUGCCUAAGGAAGUGAUCCACAAUC
rnacentral:lncRNA from 1 species